rnacentral:tRNA from 1 species
GCCCGCGUGGGGUAGCUAGGAUAUCCUGGGGGGUUGCGGACCCCUUGACUCGGAUUCGAAUUCCGGCGCGGGCA